CUAUGAACUGAUUGAGAGGGAAGAACAUGAGAGCCACAUUAAGGAAGACUAGAGCUUAGCGGCCUGCGCUUAAUUGCGCGGCUUCUGGGAGCUGGUGUUCUGUGGAGCUACUUUUGUGUUUUUCAACAAUCUCUUUUCAACACUUCUACACACUGUGGAGUUUUUUUACUUUACAUUUCUUAUUCUUUGGGAGAGUGAGCAAUCGCUUUCCCAGAGAUGACAAACACAAACAAUUUUGCAUAUUAUAAUAACUAGUCAAAACCAAUUUCGUUAUGAAAUACAAAUAUUUAAAACUUUCAACAACGGAUCUCUUGGUUCUCGCAUCGAUGAAGAACGCAGCGAAAUGCGAUACGUAAUGUGAAUUGCAGAAUUCCGUGAAUCAUCGAAUCUUUGAACGCACAUUGCGCCCUCUGGUAUUCCAGGGGGCAUGCCUGUUUGAGCGUCAUUUCCUUCUCAAAUACUUGUAUUUGGUUGUGAGUGAUACUCUUUACGGUGUUAACUUGAAAUUGCAAGCCUGUUUUGGCUGUGUAUGCUGGCUUGGAUGGAGCGAUCUAUUCAGUCUGCUAAUACCAAAAUGUCGUAUUAGGUUUUACCAACUCGGCAGUUCGUGUGUUAGUAGGUGUUAUUACGAUAGAUGAGCUAGUCUUGUGCUGCUACGCGGUCCGGCGAACAAUACUCUCAAAGUUUGACCUCAAAUCAGGUAGGAUUACCCGC
rnacentral:rRNA from 1 species